AAUGUAAUUCGUAUAGCGUAAAUGCACUAGAUCCCAUUAUAACUAUGAAAUUAAGAAGGAUUGGCAUAUAGUAGUACUAGGAUGGGUCACCUCUCAAGAAGUCACAGUGUUUUACAUUU
rfam:Picea glauca, whole genome shotgun sequence.